UACGGAGGGUGCAAGCGUUAUCCGGAUUCACUGGGUUUAAAGGGAGCGUAGGCGGGUGAUUAAGUCUGUGGUGAAAGCCCUCAGCUCAACUGAGGAACUGCCAUGGAUACUAUUUGUCUUGAAUGUCGUUGAGGUUUGCGGAAUGGGUCAUGUAGCGGUGAAAUGCGUAGAUAUGACCCGGAACACCAAUUGCGAAGGCAGCAGGCUAAACGAAAAUUGACGCUGAGGCUCGAAAGCGUGGGGAUCAAACAGG
rnacentral:rRNA from 1 species